rnacentral:rRNA from 1 species
GACGAACGCCUGGCGGCGUGCCUAACACAUGCAAGUCGAGCGGAGUGCAGCAAUGCACUUAGCGGCGAACGGGUGAGUAACGCGUGGAUAACCUGCCCUUAUGCCCGGGAUAACACUUCGAAAGAGGUGCUAAUACCGGAUGGUCCGCAUCGGUCACAUGGCUGAUACGGGAAAGGGGGCGCAAGCUCUCACACAAGGAUGGAUCCGCGUCCCAUUAGUUAGUUGGUGAGGUAACGGCUCACCAAGGCGACGAUGGGUAGCCGGCCUGAGAGGGUGACCGGCCACACUGGGACUGAGACACGGCCCAGACUCCUACGGGAGGCAGCAGUGGGGAAUCUUCCGCAAUGGACGAAAGUCUGACGGAGCAACGCCGCGUGAGUGAAGAAGGUCUUCGGAUCGUAAAGCUCUGUCUUAGGGGACGAAAGAGUCCAGGUCGAAUACACCUGGGCAGUGACGGUACCUUAGGAGGAAGCCCCGGCUAACUACGUG